rnacentral:rRNA from 1 species
UAGGGAAUCUUCCGCAAUGUGCGAAAGCCUGACGUAGCAACGCCGCGUGAGUGAUGAAGGUCUUCGGAUCGUUAAACUCUGUUAUUAGGGAAGAACAAAUGUGUAAGUAACUAUGCACGUCUUGACGGUACCUAAUCAGAAAGCCACGGCUAACUACGUGCCAGCAGCCGCGGUAAUACGUAGGUGGCAAGCGUUAUCCGGAAUUAUUGGGCGUAAAGCGCGCGUAGGCGGUUUUUUAAGUCUGAUGUGAAAGCCCACGGCUCAACCGUGGAGGGUCAUUGGAAACUGGAAAACUUGAGUGCAGAAGAGGAAAGUGGAAUUCCAUGUGUAGCGGUGAAAUGCGCAGAGAUAUGGAGGAACACCAGUGGAGAAGGCGACUUUCUGGUCUGUAACUGACGCUGAUGUGCGAAAGCGUGGGGAUCAAACAGG